rnacentral:miRNA from 1 species
UACCAUCUUUCCCAACAGUACUAUAUGUAGAGAACUUGUUGUAUAGAAGGGUGGGGGGAGAUGGGACAC